UUCGGGGGUGGGCGUCUUUUCGGACUAAUGUGCGGGAUUGAUCAGAAUGUCAGAGAGGAAGAUUUCAUCCGAAUCGUUCAGCUCCACCGGCUCGGAUUACCCGGAGAGUCCUGAGGACGGGGGAUGUCCGUUUUCACGGGUGUUCAAUGGGAAGCGCUCAGUUUCAGGGGCUGGCAGCAGGAACGCUGCUCGCAGGCGCGUUAACCUGGACUGUUUGGGAGAGAGCAUCUGGAAACUUGUCUUUCCAACGCCACAGACAUUACAGUGGGCGCUGCAGAGGACCUUACAAUACUUUGGGCAACAAGUGGACAGGGAAUUAAAAAGAGAUCCCCAAGUGUCCAACAGAUGUCUCUUUGCAGAUCACUCUGUCAAAGAUGAGCUGGAAGAUGUCUCAGGAAUAUUACAAUCCUCAGCAAAUGUUCUUGGUUUGGAGAUUGAAGAACUACAAGAAAAAUUUGGUGAGGAAUUGUUCUGCAUUUGUUUUGAAGAAAAUGAAAGAGUCCUGCGAGCAGUCGGAAGUACACUGCAGGACUUUUUUGUCGGGUUUAAUGCUUUACUGGAACAUGCAAGAACAUCCAAUAGUAAACAUGAUGGGUUUGAGUCCCCUUCUUUCCUAUGCAAAGAUUCAACUGAUGGUACUUUGAUGCUUCAUUACUUUUAUCCACACAAAGUUGUUGGAUUUGCAAUGCCUGGAUUGAUCAAAGCUGCAGCACAGAAGAUCUAUCAGCUGGAAGUUGCAGUGGAACAGGUACUCAAUGUCCCUGAAAAGUUAUCCUCAGUUGGCACAGACCAGAAUAAUUGUCUUACCUUCAUUAUCAAAGUAUAUACUGAUACAACUAACAUGAAUAUACUUCCACAAGGUUUGACUCAUUCUCCAUCUGAUCUAAAGAUAAGCAUUGUUACUUUCUGCAGAACUUUCCCAUUCCACUUCAUGUUUGACCCAAGUAUGUUGAUCCUUCAACUUGGAGAAGGACUCAGGAAACAAUUGAAAUAUGAAGCACAUAAGAUUCUGAGAUUUCAGGAUUGCUUUGAGAUUGUUUCUCCAAAGAUUUGUUGCAGUUUUCAAAAGAUUCUGUCAAAGCUGGUCACACCAUUUGUCAUUCGAACCAAGCCUGACGGAAGUGGACUAGGAGAUCAUGACAAAGUGAUGGAGAUUAAGGGACAAAUGAUUCAUGUGCCUGAAUCAAACUCUGUCCUUUUCCUGGGCUCACCAUGUGUUGACAAGCUGGAGCAAUUAAUGGGACGAGGUUUACAUCUAUCAGACAUACCAAUCCAUGAUGCUACUCGUGAUGUUAUUUUAGUAGGUGAACAGGCUAAAGCCCAGGACGGCCUGAAGAAACGCAUGGACAAAUUGAAAGCAACACUUGAAAAGGCACACCAGGCCUUGGAGGAGGAAAAGAAGAAGACUGUGGACUUACUUUAUUCAAUCUUCCCAGGUGACGUUGCCCAACAACUGUGGCAGAGAAAAUCAGUGCAGGCGAGGAAAUUUGAUGAUGUUACCAUGCUUUUCUCUGACAUUGUUGGUUUUACUGCCAUCUGUGCACAAUGCACCCCAAUGCAAGUAAUUAGUAUGCUGAAUGAACUGUAUACCAGGUUUGACUACCAAUGCGGAAUCCUGGACGUAUAUAAGGUGGAAACAAUUGGUGAUGCAUACUGUGUCGCUGGAGGGUUACAUAGAAAAAGCAGCAAUCAUGCUAAACUCAUAGCCCUGAUGGCACUGAAAAUGAUGGAACUAUCUGAGGAGGUGCUAACACCCAAUGGAAAACCCAUUAAGUUGCGAAUUGGGAUCCAUUCUGGCUCUGUACUGGCAGGAGUUGUUGGUGUGAAGAUGCCUCGUUACUGCUUAUUUGGAAACAACGUUACUCUGGCCAGCAAAUUUGAGUCGGGAAGUCAACCACGACGCAUUAAUGUCAGUCCCACGACACACCAGUAUCACAGGCACCAGGCAAACAGGCUACGUGAAAAGAGGCAAGAAGUAUUGAAUGCAGAAGGUGAGUGCCAGUACAGUAUAACUUGUGGGCCAGGAGAAGCAGGUAAACCCAAACAGCCCCCACUCUGCAAUGCUGUCACUCUGCAAUCUAUCCCCAAUUUCUACCAUUUGUGAAGCUUAUUGCCAUCUGCCCCUUUCCCCUGGUCAAUACUAGACACCUUGGAAGUUGUUGAGCUUCUUGAAUGCUGUUAGAGCUGCACUCAUCUGGGAAAGUGGAGAGCAUUCCGUCACAUUCCUGACUUGUGUCUUAUAAAUGGUGAUUAAGCCUUGGGGAGUCAGGGUGAUGAUGUUGUGACAUUCAACCUUUCUUCUGCAUAACGUAGAUAACCACAGCAUUCUAGGAAAAGUAAUUCAAGGAAACAUAUUGAUCAUUUGAAUUUACAGUAGAAAGAAGUUAGACUAACAGUGCUCACUAUCCACUUCUCAAAUAAAUAAAAGUAAUUUCCAGCUACCAUAUUUACAGUUAAACACAGAAAUCAGGAGGUUGCUGGCUUGGAGACCAUGCUUAUUUUGAAUCUGCAUGAUAACACUGUCUUGCUGAGAGGCAUCUAUUUCCUUCAGUGCUAAUUUUAGUCCAUUUCUAUUAGUAGAAACUGCCAGGGACUUUCUUAUUUCAAUAUAUAUGCCAUUUUAACUGUGUGAUAAGUCAAACAACCUCUCCAACACUGAGAACUAAUAUUUACAAGUGUGAAGUCUCAUUUAUUUUAAAAUAUUUUUGGAGUUUCAAGCAAAGGAAAACUUUCUUCAGUUUUAUUUUUCCAUAUCAAUCCAAUCUUUCUUUCCCCCAUUUUAUUUCACAUUCUGUAUUUGAUCUUGCAGUGUAUUCCACAUGCUGCCUGCCAGUUUCUUGUUCACAUACUGCAGUAUCCAGUAAAAAUGGGUUACUGUGAUUUGUUGAGGAGAAACACAUUUGGUUGACCUGUGCUUGCUGUGGUCCCAAAUUCCCCACAUGCUCUGCUAAACUACUUGACUGAUACUUACAGUACAGAUUCCAUAGAAAGUCUAGGGGGAAGAGCAAAUUAAUUAUUUUAAUGCUGAUGGCAAAACUUGAUCCCAAUGCAUUGCGGGUAAUAAAAACAGGGAGACUGAAUGACAAUGAAAACUUCAUAUUCAAUUAUGUUUAAUUGUGUUUUUUUCACAAGAUAGUAGGUGAAAUGUCCCCCAUCCUGAUGUGCAACAUUCCCUGCAAUUUAUUUUCUUUCAUGUGAAUCUCCAAGGUCUGUGCACAGCAGUGACUUCCUAACACUUAUUUCCUUUUAUUUCCUCUUAGACCAGAUGAUACUCAGGUUUCUUUUUUGAGUUUAUUUAUGUAUGCACGGAAAAGUGUACUCUGCAAGAAAAUGGUGCCUAACUCAAAUCUUCAUCAUAAAGCCAGAGGUUUUACAAUAUUGUUACAGAUAAGAAACUUCGAAUUGACUAUUUUUACAAGUCAUCCUUCCUCCAAUUUCACCUUUUACAUCUGUCCAACUCUGUUUGCAUAAUUUACAUUCCAAGGCAAUUCAUAUCAUCAAGGUAUGUUCAAAUGCAAACACAUAUACGAUUGAAUAUUACAGCUAUAUGUUACCCAAUUAUACCAGUACAUUUCCACAUCUCCUAGUGCAGGAUAUGCUUUUGAUUACCUGUAAACAUACAUUGUCUAUGUUCCUUUUCAUUCCCUCCUGUUACUUAUACUGUCCAUUUUCCCUUUCACUGUGACUGCAUCAGCAUGCCAAUACCUGUACAUGGAAUGCCAGAGCAGCUGCACAGAUCAAAGCGGACAUUGCUGGUCUGGAGUGAAGAGUGGUGAGAAAGGCAAAACUGGGUGUGAAAGAAGAUGGAAGAGAAGUG